rnacentral:rRNA from 1 species
CUGGCGGCGUGGAUAAGACAUGCAAGUCGAACGGGAGAAUUGCUAGCUUGCUAAUAAUUCUCUAGUGGCGCACGGGUGAGUAACACGUGAGUAACCUGCCCCCGAGAGCGGGAUAGCCCUGGGAAACUGGGAUUAAUACCGCAUAGUAUCGAAAGAUUAAAGCAGCAAUGCGCUUGGGGAUGGGCUCGCGGCCUAUUAGUUUAGUUGGUGAGGUAACGGCUCACCAAGGCGAUGACGGGUAGCCGGUCUGAGAGGAUGUCCGGCCACACUGGAACUGAGACACGGUCCAGACACCUACGGGUGGCAGCAGUCGAGAAUCAUUCACAAUGGGGGAAACCCUGAUGGUGCGACGCCGCGUGGGGGAAUGAAGGUCUUCGGAUUGUAAACCCCUGUCAUGUGGGAGCAAAUUAAAAAGAUAGUACCACAAGAGGAAGAGACGGCUAACUCUGUGCCAGCAGCCGCGGUAAUACAGAGGUCUCAAGCGUUGUUCGGAAUCACUGGACGUAAAGCGUGCGUAGGCUGUUUCGUAAGUCGUGUGUGAAAGGCGCGGGCUCAACCCGCGGACGGCACAUGAUACUGCGAGACUAGAGUAAUGGAGGGGGAACCGGAAUUCUCGGUGUAGCAGUGAAAUGCGUAGAUAUCGAGAGGAACACUCGUGGCGAAGGCGGGUUCCUGGACAUUAACUGACGCUGAGGCACGAAGGCCAGGGGAGCGAAAGGGAUUAGAUACCCCUGUAGUCCUGGCAGUAAACGGUGCACGCUUGGUGUGCGGGGAAUCGACCCCCUGCGUGCCGGAGCUAACGCGUUAAGCGUGCCGCCUGGGGAGUACGGUCGCAAGAUUAAAACUCAAAGAAAUUGACGGGGACCCGCACAAGCGGUGGAGUAUGUGGCUUAAUUCGAUGCAACGCGAAGAACCUUACCUGGGCUUGACAUGUAAUGAACAACAUGUGAAAGCAUGCGACUCUUCGGAGGCGUUACACAGGUGCUGCAUGGCCGUCGUCAGCUCGUGUCGUGAGAUGUUUGGUUAAGUCCAGCAACGAGCGCAACCCCUGUUGCCAGUUACCAGCACGUGAAGGUGGGGACUCUGGCGAGACUGCCCAGAUCAACUGGGAGGAAGGUGGGGACGACGUCAGGUCAGUAUGGCCCUUAUGCCCAGGGCUGCACACGUACUACAAUGCCCAGUACAGAGGGGGCCGAAGCCGCGAGGCGGAGGAAAUCCUAAAAACUGGGCCCAGUUCGGACUGUAGGCUGCAACCCGCCUACACGAAGCCGGAAUCGCUAGUAAUGGCGCAUCAGCUACGGCGCCGUGAAUACGUUCCCGGGUCUUG